GAUGAACGCUGGCGGCGUGCCUAAUACAUGCAAGUCGAGCGAACAGAUAAGGAGCUUGCUCCUUUGACGUUAGCGGCGGACGGGUGAGUAACACGUGGGUAACCUACCUAUAAGACUGGAAUAACUCCGGGAAACCGGGGCUAAUGCAGGAUAACAUGUUGAACCGCAUGGUUCUACAGUGAAAGGCGGCUUUGCUGUCACUUAUAGAUGGACCCGCGCCGUAUUAGCUAGUUGGUGAGGUAACGGCUCACCAAGGCAACGAUACGUAGCCGACCUGAGAGGGUGAUCGGCCACACUGGAACUGAGACACGGUCCAGACUCCUACGGGAGGCAGCAGUAGGGAAUCUUCCGCAAUGGGCGAAAGCCUGACGGAGCAACGCCGCGUGAGUGAUGAAGGUCUUCGGAUCGUAAAACUCUGUUAUUAGGGAAGAACAAAUGCGUAAGUAACUGUGCGCGUCUUGACGGUACCUAAUCAGAAAGCCACGGCUAACCACGUG
rnacentral:rRNA from 1 species